rnacentral:rRNA from 1 species
ACCGGCCUAUACAUGCAAGUCGAGCGGAACAGAUGGGAGCUUGCUCCCUGAUGUUAGCGGCGGACGGGUGAGUAACACGUGGGUAACCUGCCUGUAAGACUGGGAUAACUCCGGGAAACCGGGGCUAAUACCGGAUGGUUGUCUGAACCGCAUGGUUCAGACAUAAAAGGUGGCUUCGGCUACCACUUACAGAUGGACCCGCGGCGCAUUAGCUAGUUGGUGAGGUAACGGCUCACCAAGGCGACGAUGCGUAGCCGACCUGAGAGGGUGAUCGGCCACACUGGGACUGAGACACGGCCCAGACUCCUACGGGAGGCAGCAGUAGGGAAUCUUCCGCAAUGGACGAAAGUCUGACGGAGCAACGCCGCGUGAGUGAUGAAGGUUUUCGGAUCGCACAGAUCUGUUGACAGGGAAGAACAAAGCCGCCCCUAUACGAUCGAACCUC